rnacentral:rRNA from 1 species
CUACGGGAUGCUGCAGUGGGGAAUAUUGCACAAUGGGCGCAAGCCUGAUGCAGCAACGCCGCGUGAACGAUGAAGGCCUUCGGGUUGUAAAGUUCUUUUCUUAGGGAAGAAUAAAUGACGGUACCUAAGGAAUCAGCCCCGGCUAACUACGUGCCAGCAGCCGCGGUAAUACGUAGGGGGCAAGCGUUAUCCGGAAUCACUGGGCGUAAAGGGAGUGUAGGCGGUCAAGCAAGUCAGGGGUGAAAGGCAUCGGCUCAACCGAUGUAAGCCUUUGAAACUGUUUGACUUGAGUGCAGGAGAGGUAAGUGGAAUUCCUAGUGUAGCGGUGAAAUGCGUAGAUAUUAGGAGGAACACCAGUGGCGAAGGCGACUUACUGGACUGUAACUGACGCUGAGGCUCGAAAGCGUGGGGAGCGAACAGGAUUAGAUACCCGCGUAGUC